CCUACGGGAGGCUGCAGUGGGGAAUAUUGGACAAUGGGGGGAACCCUGAUCCAGCCAUGCCGCGUGUGUGAAGAAGGCCCUCGGGUUGUAAAGCACUUUCAGUGAGGAAGAACGCCUGGUGGUUAAUACCCAUCAGGAAAGACAUCACUCACAGAAGAAGCACCGGCUAACUCCGUGCCAGCAGCCGCGGUAAUACGGAGGGUGCGAGCGUUAAUCGGAAUUACUGGGCGUAAAGCGCGCGUAGGUGGCUUGAUAAGCCGGUUGUGAAAGCCCCGGGCUCAACCUGGGAACGGCAUCCGGAACUGUCAAGCUAGAGUGCAGGAGGGGAAGGUAGAAUUCCCGGUGUAGCGGUGAAAUGCGUAGAGAUCGGGAGGAAUACCAGUGGCGAAGGCGGCCUUCUGGACUGACACUGACACUGAGGUGCGAAAGCGUGGGUAGCAAACAGGAUUAGAUACCCGUGUAGUC
rnacentral:rRNA from 1 species